CGCAUCUGUGCAUGCAGCAUAUCAAUAAGCGGAGGAAAAGAAACUAACAAGGAUUCCCCUAGUAACGGCGAGUGAAGCGGGAAGAGCUCAAAUUUGAAAUCUUAAAGGGUUUCCCUUUACGAAUUGUAGUUUAAAGAAGUGUUUUCUGUUGAGGUUUUGGUAAAAGUUCUUUGGAAUAGGACAUCAUAGAGGGUGAGAAUCCCGUAUUUGACCUUUACUUUCAACUUUGUGAUACACUUUCAAAGAGUCGGAUUGUUUGGGAAUGCAGUCCAAAAUGGGUGGUAAAUUUCAUCUAAAGCUAAAUAUUGGCGAGAGACCGAUAGCGAACAAGUACCGUGAGGGAAAGAUGAAAAGAACUUUGAAAAGAGAGUUAAACAGUACGUGAAAUUGUCAAAAGGGAAGCGUUUGACACCAGUGUUGUUUUUCUGAAAAUCAAUUAAAGAACUGUUUAUGCUAAGCUGUUUCAGACCUUUAUCAGCUAUCUGUUUAGUUUUGAGCUUUUCUUUAAUGCACUUUUCAGUUAACAAGUCAACAUCAAUUUCUUUUGCUGUAAAAAAGCUUGAGGAAGGUGGCUUGAGAUUCGUCUUAAGUGUUUAUAGCCUCUUGCCUAUGCAGUCGGAGAGACUGAGGUCUGCAGCGUAGAUCCUUCGGGGUUAGAUACAUUUGUGCUAAGUUAUAGCUUUUUAUAGACAACUUGUUGACUAUGAUUAGUCUUGUAGCUUACUCGCUUAUGCUAUUUUACCUACGCUUAGGAUGUUGAUCUCUCACAGUCGAGC
rnacentral:rRNA from 1 species